AAACCGCCAGUAGGUGGCGCUAAUCUCAAAGUUAACAGUCCAAAUUGACGUGACGAGAUGUGGCUGAGAAAGCACUGUGACCGAGCUGAAGAACCAACCCGGUUUAAGAAGUUUACACCGACGAACACGACGAGCCGUUUCGUCGAGUGCCCCCUUGUGUUAGCUCCGGACUGUGAUUGAACUUGAAUCUGAGGGUUCAAUGGCGAGCCAAACCCCAGGAACAGACAACUAAGUGGACAGGACAGGACCACGGCUCCCGCUGUGAGGACAUCGGACUACAAAUUCACUGCACAUGUGAUCCAGAUAAGACACACGAGAAUCUCCCCAGGUAGUAGUAACAAGGUCCGCUGUCCGGGGGAUUUACGGACAAUUGAAGCUGACUGGGUCGCAACCUCAUCUGCACAAAGUCACCCACGACUUGGAUGUGUCAGUCACGCUAAAAAGGCUCGCGCUGCUUCCUGACAAGGCCAGGCUCAGGUAUCGGUGCGUUGCGAGAGAAGCUUUAACUCCUCGUGACAGGUCAUCUUCUUGCCCAACCGUCGCUUCACGAGCUUCAAAUAUUAGACGGACGAUGAGUGUCGCACGAAAACACUCCCGGUAUCUAUAAUUAAGGUUGAAAUGAAAUAAACGUCAGGCUCGGCGAGCGAUGAUUUACUCCACGGUCACCACCUGGUUGCAAUAUUGAUGUGACCAAAAAAUUUUGGGGGGUAAUUCAAGGUGUGGCCUUCAUGACAUGUACCAAUCGUGAUGAAGUUUAUUGCCAUGCCACGCCCACAUCUUAAGGAAAUAACUCUAUUUCAUGAUAAUGCAAUAUUUUCAUUAAUACGUCAUCUUUCACUCUGUAAAGUUGCAAUAUUGAUGUGUAUUCUGUCAGACGUUUGCAGCAUUUCUUGAAAAGAGGUUUUCCAACUGUAUUAAAAAGCAGCAUUUCUUUUGAAUUCAGUCCCCAUAGUCCCCAUAUUUUCAUUACAUCUUUCACUCCGUAAAGUUGCAAUAAUGGCGCCUGUGACGUGUAUUUUCCUCGUCUGUCAGACGUUUGCAGCAUUUCUUGAAACGAGGCUUUCCAACUGUAUUAAAAAGCAGCAUUUCUUUUGAAUUCAGUCCCCAUAGUCCCCAUAUUUUCAUUACAUCUUUCACUCCGUAAAGUUGUAAUAAUGGCGCCUGUGACGUGUAUUUUCCUCGUCUGUCAGACGUUUGCAGCAUUUCUUGAAAAGAGGUUUUCCAACUGUAUUAAAAAGCAGCAUUUCUUUUGAAUUCAGUCCCCAUAGUCCCCAUAUUUUCAUUACAUCUUUCACUCCGUAAAGUUGCAAUAAUGGCGCCUGUGACGUGUAUUUUCCUCGCCUGUCAGACGUUUGCAGCAUUUCUUGAAAAGAGGUUUUCCAACUGUAUUAAAAAGCAGCAUUUCUUUUGAAUUCAGUCCCCAUAGUCCCCAUAUUUUCAUUACAUCUUUCACUCCGUAAAGUUGCAAUAAUGGCGCCUGUGACGUGUAUUUUCCUCGUCUGUCAGACGUUUGCAGCAUUUCUUGAAAAGAGGUUUUCCAACUGUAUUAAAAAGCAGCAUUUCUUUUGAGAUGACUCGUUUGCAGCAUUUACUUUGCAGCUCGGUGAAUGCCGACUGUCGGAAUUUAUUUAUGUUUGAAUCGAUACGCUUCCAUGUGCUCCUGAGAAGUCCUGGCUGCUCAUUACGCACCAUUGUAGAGGGCCUCAUUAUAUAUAAUGACACGAGUAAAGCGUUUGAAACAAUCUCCGGCAAUGACGGUAGGACUUGUCGUUUAGAUUUAUCACGCCUACUGAGAUGGAAUGACGUCAGCGUUUUUUAAUUGUCAAGGCGGAUGAGACGGAAAUGUGCGGCAAAUGACGUGCCCUAAACAUUUGCGGAUAUCUAUUACCAGGAGGAAAAGGUCAGAGUAAGAAAACAGCGAAUAAGGCAUGAAUAUACAUCAUUUCACCUUUGCUGCAGAAAUCCAACAAAGGGUGCGACGCCGGUGCCGGGUCCGACCAUGAUGAGCGGAACGGACGGGUCAGAUGGAAGUCGAAAGGCGCAGUUGGGUCUCAAACUCACAUGGAUCUGAGGGAGAGAGGGUCACAAUGUGCAUUCUAAAUAAUGAAAGUAAUUAGAACACUGCUGAGGAGCCACUAUGGGCCUCCCAAUCUAUUAAUUGAUCUACUUAACGUUCUAAGACAGACUAAUGAGAAAACUUAUGAGCUCCAAGUAAAAUCCAUAGAGCGUGAUAGAGAGGAUUUAGUUGCUUUAAUUCAAAUUACAUUUUGUUUUAAUCGACCCCA